GAUCCUGGCUCAGGACGAACGCUGGCGGCGUGCCUAACACAUGCAAGUCGAACGGGACUUAGCCCCUUCGGGACUGAGUUUAGUGGCGAACGGGUGAGUAACGCGUGAGGAACCUGCCUUUCAGUGGGGGACAACAGUUGGAAACGACUGCUAAUACCGCAUAAUGCUCUUUAAUGGCAUCAUUGAAAAGCCAAAGAUUUAUUGCUGAAAGAUGGCCUCGCGUCUGAUUAGCUAGUUGGUGGGGUAACCGG
rnacentral:rRNA from 1 species